rnacentral:rRNA from 1 species
UACGUAGGGUGCAAGCGUUGUCCGGAAUUAUUGGGCGUAAAGAGCUCGUAGGCGGUUUGUCGCGUCUGCUGUGAAAACUCGGGGCUCAACUCCGAGCUUGCAGUGGGUACGGGCAGACUAGAGUGCGGUAGGGGAGACUGGAAUUCCUGGUGUAGCGGUGGAAUGCGCAGAUAUCAGGAGGAACACCGGUGGCGAAGGCGGGUCUCUGGGCCUUACCUGACGCUGAGACGCGAAAGCGUGGGGAGCGAACCGG